UCUAGAGACCAUGAGGUAUGUGUUUGAGCGUUUCAUAGUUGUCUCUUUCAUCGGUAGCGAGUAAGUGGUCUGCAGCUUCUCAAUUUUGCUUUUCUCAAAUGUUCUUUGGUGGUUGCUAGAUCCAUGCUAGAUCAGUAUGUGGUUUUUGAAGCCUUAGCUAGCUAAUUUGAUUUGAAGCAAACAUUUCUUUAUCCUUCCAAAUAGUGCAAUUUAGAUCUCCAGUUCUCUUCCCUUCUGUUAUUUAGAUGUUAUUUAGAGUAAAAAUGUUCCGAACAAAAGUGUUGGCUGUGAUCUAAAAAAAGUUUUGUUGUCUCGCUGUCAGGAGCAGACCGUCGCAACCGCUUGCUUCGCCAUGAAUUUUCCUCUAGAUCUGGUCCAAAGGGGAAGUGAUGGAGCAUGAUGCUGAAGAGAACGAAUGUGAGAAAGAUGGGGAUAGCACACAGGGAAUAGGUAAGCAUCUGAGUUGCUGAUAGGAAGGAGAGAUAAAAAAAAUUGAGCUCAGUUGUAUACUUGUAUUGAUGGGGACAGCCGGCCGACACCAGCGAUGGUUGUGGAGGUCGCUGGCCAAGAACUCGUGCUCAUGCUCAUGGUGGCCGGCACCGUUAAAGUUAUUAUUAUUUUGUUACCUUGAUGAAAUAUGUAACCGUUAUUUGAGAUAAUGAAGUUAUCUUCAAUAAAACUAAUCUAAGUUUGUAUU